UACGGAAGGCAGCAGUGGGGAAUAUUGCACAAUGGGCGCAAGCCUGAUGCAGCCAUGCCGCGUGUAUGAAGAAGGCCUUCGGGUUGUAAAGUACUUUCAGUCGUGAGGAAGGUGUUAAGGUUAAUAACCUUAGCAAUUGACGUUAGCGACAGAAGAAGCACCGGCUAACUCCGUGCCAGCAGCCGCGGUAAUACGGAGGGUGCGAGCGUUAAUCGGAAUUACUGGGCGUAAAGGGCACGCAGGCGGUUAAUUAAGUUGGAUGUGAAAUCCCCGGGCUUAACCUGGGAAUGGCAUUCAAGACUGGUUAGCUAGAGUCUUGUAGAGGGGGUAGAAUUCCAUGUGUAGUGGUGAAAUGCGUAGAGAUGUGGAGGAAUACCGGGUGGCGAAGGCGGCCCCUGGGACAAAGACUGACGCUCAUGUGCGAAAGCGUGGGGAGCAAACAGGGAUUAGAUACC
rnacentral:rRNA from 1 species